GAUGAACGCUGGCGGCGUGCCUAAUACAUGCAAGUCGAGCGAACGGACGAGAAGCUUGCUUCUCUGAUGUUAGCGGCGGACGGGUGAGUAACACGUGGAUAACCUACCUAUAAGACUGGGAUAACUUCGGGAAACCGGAGCUAAUACCGGAUAAUAUUUUGAACCGCAUGGUUCAAAAGUGAAAGACGGUCUUGCUGUCACUUAUAGAUGGAUCCGCGCUGCAUUAGCUAGUUGGUAAGGUAACGGCUUACCAAGGCAACGAUGCAUAGCCGACCUGAGAGGGUGAUCGGCCACACUGGAACUGAGACACGGUCCAGACUCCUACGGGAGGCAGCAGUAGGGAAUCUUCCGCAAUGGGCGAAAGCCUGACGGAGCAACGCCGCGUGAGUGAUGAAGGUCUUCGGAUCGUAAAACUCUGUUAUUAGGGAAGGACAUAUGUGUAAGUAACUGUGCACAUCUUGACGGUACCUAAUCAGAAAGCCACGGCUAACUAUGUG
rnacentral:rRNA from 1 species